rnacentral:misc_RNA from 1 species
GUAGGUGAACCUGCGGAAGGAUCAUUAUCAGGUGGAGCAGGCCUCGCGCCCGCACCUCCCUCCCUUUGCAUACCGUAACCCGUUGCUCGAGCCGGCGGCCCCCGGGCCCCGGCGAGAGACCAUCUCAACCUCCUCUUUCGGAACGUCUGAGUCAUAUCAUAAUAGCAUAAAACUUUCAACAACGGAUCUCUUGGUUCCG